GAUGAACGCUGGCGGCGUGCCUAAUACAUGCAAGUCGAGCGAACAGACGAGGAGCUUGCUCCUCUGACGUUAGCGGCGGACGGGUGAGUAACACGUGGAUAACCUACCUAUAAGACUGGGAUAACUUCGGGAAACCGGAGCUAAUACCGGAUAAUAUAUUGAACCGCAUGGUUCAAUGGUGAAAGACGGUUUUGCUGUCACUUAUAGAUGGAUCCGCGCCGCAUUAGCUAGUUGUUAAGGUAACGGCUUACCAAGGCGACGAUGCGUAGCCGACCGGAGGGGGUGAUAGGCCACACUGGAACUGAGACACGGUCCAGACUCCUACGGGAGGCAGCAGUAGGGAAUCGUCCGCAAUGGGCGAAAGCCUGACGGAGCAACGCCGCGUGAGUGAUGAAGGUCUUCGGAUCGUAAAACUCUGUUAUUAGGGAAGAACAAAUGUGUAAGUAACUAUGCACGUCUUGACGGUACCUAAUCAGAAAGCCACGGCUAACUACGUG
rnacentral:rRNA from 1 species